rnacentral:rRNA from 1 species
GUCGAGCGGCAAGGUCUUCGGACCCUAGAGCGGCGCACGGGUGAGUAACGCGUACGCAAUCUGCCCUUCAGUGAGGAAUAGCCCUGGGAAACUGGGAUUAAUACCUCAUAAUAUUAUUUGUUCGCAUGGAUGAAUAAUUAAAGUUCUGGCGCUGAAGGAUGAGCGUGCGUCUGAUUAGCUAGUUGGUAGGGUAACGGCCUAUCAAGGCUACGAUCAGUAGGGGGCGUGAGAGCGUGACCCCCCACACGGGUACUGAGACACGGACCCGACUCCUACGGGAGGCAGCAGUAAGGAAUAUUGGGCAAUGGAGGCAACUCUGACCCAGCCAUCCCGCGUGAAGGAUUAAGGCCCUAUGGGUUGUAAACUUCUUUUGUUUGGGAAGAAAUCUGGACAUUUAUGUGCAGUUGACGGUACCUUACGAAUAAGCACCGGCUAACUCCGUGCCAGCAGCCGCGGUAAUACGGAGGGUGCAAGCGUUAUCCGGAAUCACUGGGUUUAAAGGGUGCGUAGGCGGUUUGAUAAGUCAGAGGUGAAAGCUAGCAGCUUAACUGUUAAAUUGCCUUUGAUACUGUCAGACUUGAAUCAAGUUGAGGUAGGCGGAAUGUGACAUGUAGCGGUGAAAUGCAUAGAUAUGUCAUAGAACACCAAUUGCGUAGGCAGCUUGCUGGGCUUGAAUUGACGCUGAGGCACGAAAGCGUGG